GCGGGUAUAGCCUAGAGGCCAGGCAUCUGCCUUCCACGCAGAGAACAUGGGUUCGAUUCCCAUUACCCGCU
rnacentral:tRNA from 1 species